AGCGAACGCUGGCGGCAGGCCUAACACAUGCAAGUCGAACGAACCUUUCGGGGUUAGUGGCGGACGGGUGAGUAACACGUGGGAACGUGCCUUUAGGUUCGGAAUAACUCAGGGAAACUUGUGCUAAUACCGAAUGUGCCCUUCGGGGGAAAGAUUUAUCGCCUUUAGAGCGGCCCGCGUCUGAUUAGCUAGUUGGUUGAGGUAAUGGCUCACCAAGGCGACGAUCAGUAGCUGGUCUGAGAGGAUGAUCAGCCACAUUGGGACUGAGACACGGCCCAAACUCCUACGGGAGGCAGCAGUGGGAAUCUUGCGCAAUGGGCGAAAGCCUGACGCAGCCAUGCCGCGUGAAUGAUGAAGGUCUUAGGAUUGUAAAAUUCUUUCACCGGGGACGAUAAUGACGGUACCCGGAGAAGAAGCCCCGGCUAACUUCGU
rnacentral:rRNA from 1 species